AUCACCUUCUUCUCCUAGCUGAACAUGGACCUGACUCAUAGAGCUGCUCAACUCUCAAGGCUGGAUUAGUCCAAAGUAGAGAUGGGCAAGUGGAGUAGCUCCAGGGCUGGCUGGGGCCAGCAUGCACCCACUUCAGCAGGCCCAGGACUGGGAUCUGAUGGGCCUAGUUCAGGAGGUGCUGUUGGCUACACGAAGAGAAAGGUGGAGAGCAGAAUGCCAGCUUCGCUCCCCAGCCGCACACAACCAGACACAGCACACAUCGCAGACUGUCAUUCUUCAUGCUCCCAGACUCCAGCCUACCUGACUGCUCUGCAAGUCUAAUCCCAAGUGGAGACAACUAGCCUCCACCCCAGUGGUGAAAAGCGCUGGAGAGGCUUCUUCUUUGAAGAAGGCUUGCCUACCUUCAAAUACCUUUGACAGAGACAAAGAAACACAGAGUGAGAAAUCACCCCCCAGAAGA